rnacentral:rRNA from 1 species
UACGAAGGGUGCGAGCGUUAUUCGGAAUGAUUGGGCGUAAAGGGUGCGCAGACGGUUUGUUAAGUCAGCUGUUAAAUUUCCCGGCCUAACCGGGAGCUCGCAGCAGAAACUGGCGAACUAGAGGAUGGAAGAGAGAAGUGGAAUUCUCGGAGUAGCGGUAAAAUGCGUAGAUCUCGAGAGGAACACCGAUGGCGAAGGCAGCUUCUUGGUCCAUUUCUGACGUUCAGGCACGAAAGCGUGGGGAGCAAACAGG